rnacentral:rRNA from 1 species
GAUUCCCUAGUACUGCGAGUGAAGCGGGAAAAGCUCAAAUUUGUAAUCCGUCCCCAGACGGAGUUGUAAUCUAGAGAAGUGUUUUCGGCCGUUGUCUCGGACAAGUCCCCUGAAACAGGGCGUCAUAGAGGGUAACAAUCCCGUCCUUACCGAGGUCGCAAUGUCUAUGUGAUACACUCUCGAAGAGUCGAGUUGUUUGGGAAUGCAGCUCAAAAUGGGUGGUAAAUUCCAUCUAAAGCUAAAUAUUGGCGAGAGACCGAUAGCGAACAAGUACCGUGAGGGAAAGAUGAAAAGCACUUUGGAAAGAGAGUUAAACAGUACGUGAAAUUGCUAAAAGGGAAGCGCUUGAAGUCAGUCGCGUCGUUAGAGACUCAACCUCACGGUGUAUUUCUCUGGUGACGGGCCAACAUCGAUUUUGGGCGUGGGAAAAUGGUAUUUAUGGAAUGUGGCAGCUUCGGCUGUGUUAUAGCCCCGUAUCGUACACCACGCCCGGGAUCGAGGACCGCGGCUCUGCCUAGGAUGUUGGCGUAAUGGCUUUAAGCGACCCGUCUUGAACCA